GGUACUUAGUUACCCCUACCCGUCCUCGCGACCGGACCUAUCGUCCCCACUCUGGAUCCGACCCUACUCUAGUACUCUGCCGGCGUCAUUCCUACUACUACUACUACUACUACUACUAGUACUACUAUCGCAAUACUACUACCACUGCCGGCGCCGUCGCCGUCAGUCCGGUACCACCACUAGAGCCUGUGCCACCACUAUGUAUGCCGAGUAUGCGAGGACGACUACACGACGGGAGUCGCGCGGCUUAUCCCCUCCAUCCGGAUUUUCUCAUGAGACUCCGGCAUCCAUCAACCUGCUGCUGCCGCCGCCGUCGUAACGUCUCGACUCGUACGAGGACCAUCCGCACGCUACCGUCGUGGAGCGGCGAGGAGGGAGCGAUAUUAUCCGAAGGAACAUAACGUGACGGUUUAUCUAUUCGCUAUAUGGGAUGGCGCAUGGGGGUCGUAGGACGCUACAGAUUGGUAGAGAUCCUGGACAGUAGCCAGGUGCGUUCCUUGCUGUCCGUGACGUCAUUAAUCCACCCAUCGUUUUUCAAGGGAUCGCGAGGGCAUUGUGUAACAGGCGGGGGAUGCUACGCAGCUGCUAACAAGGACGGGUUUGCCAACCUCCAUGUCCCGGUACGCACACACAGAUACGCGCAUAUACAUAUAUAUAUACACAGAUACGUAUUAUAUACAAACAUUGUACGAAGGAUUCCACGCCCGGUAGAGAGAAAUGGCGGAUCCUGAUUCUUGAUAUUAAAGUUUCUGCCUCCGAC